UGUUGAGUGCAGCAGUUUCAAUUAUUUUGUGUUUAUUUCUUAUUCAGAUUUUGAAUUAAACUGAAUGAGAACCAUCUGGUUAUUCUUCCAAGGAAAAGCCGAAAAGGCAAACACCACCAUCACAGUCAACAAGUUAACCCAAUGACUGCCACUGGGUAGCAGUUACCCUUGAAUAGCUCUCCUUAGUUCCUUGGAAUGGGUCCACACUUAUUUUGAGUUUAACCUGCGCCUAUAAUCCAUUGACUGAAUCAAUUGGGGGUAACUGACGCGAGAGAUAAAAGACAACUGACUAACUAACGUGAUGUCAUUCACCAAUACUGUGCGUGCCAUCCUUCCGUCGCCCCAAGGCAUGGGGGAAUUGUACCUGUUCCAGCUACGCUGCCAGCAUAAUUUCACUACCCAACUGACGGCCUGGUGGGUCAACUUACCAAUCACUGACUCCUACUACCCCUGCUCUCAAGUCUCAACGGACCAAAGGACGACCAUGUUGUUCUAAACUACAGGAACUUUCUAAAUUGGCAUGGCAGACUUUAUGAGAAGGUAUGUCCUUUGAAGAAAAAGGGCAAUGGCUGCUGUCAACAAGGUCCCUUAUUGUUUGGUAACCCGUUGGCUGCUACCCUUGAAUCUCCCUAUUUACUUCCUUCUUGAUUUGAGGGCAAAACCUUCACUACUUAUCGUGGACUCCAUCCAUUGGUGGAAACUGAUGAGAGAAUGCUGUAAUUCAAGAGGAUACUGAUAAAUUGUGUAGUUGUUGGAUGCUUUACCAGUGCAUAUCUGGGCUCCCUUCUUUUCUGUGGCCCCGUUUCCCUAACUAACCACUAACC